rnacentral:misc_RNA from 1 species
GAAAUGCGAUAAGUAAUGUGAAUUGCAGAAUUCAGUGAAUCAUCGAAUCUUUGAACGCACAUUGCGCCCGCCAGUAUUCUGGCGGGCAUGCCUGUCCGAGCGUCAUUUCAACCAUCAAGCCCCCGGGCUUGUGUUGGGGACCUGCGGCUGCCCGCAGGCCCUGAAAACCAGUGGCGGGCUCGCUGUCACACCGAGCGUAGUAGCAAUCACCACGCUCAGGGCGUGCUGCGGGUUCCGGCCGUUAAACAGCCUUACAAAACCCAAGGUUGACCUCGGAUCAGGUAGGAAGACCCGCUGAACUUAAGC